AGACACAAAUGAGAGAUGAAGAAGUGGAAGCAGCAAGGACAGACAUACAAGUUCAAGAAAUUUGUAAGCAGGAAGAAAAAAGAACCGUGGAUUAAGUGAGGGGAGGAGGCUUUUAUUUUCUUGUUUUGUCUUGUGGUUUUUAGGGAGUGGAUGCAAACACAGAUGGGAAGGUAAGCUUCAACAGGACACUGCCAGGAAGAAGCAUGAAGAAAGAGAUAAACCCAGAGGCGGAAUGAACCCUUUGGCAGUGGAGAUAUCUGACCAUGGAGAUGCUUCUGAAUGUCACCCACCAAGAAGCUGUGAGCUGGAUGCUCCACAGAUAUGAUAUACAGAGCCUUCCCUGCUGGCCUUUUUCCUUCCAUCUGGAGAUCAGCCCGGGUCCAUAGGUAAAUCACAUCUUCCUACCUAAUAAUGACCAACUGCUAAAACCCAGAGCCUAACAUGAAGACAGCCAGCAAAGAAGAAAUGUGGUUUGCAGCGUUCCAGCCCCAGCAUCACAGAGCAGAGUGUAAAAAGGUAUUCCUGAUGACGGUGAACUGUAAGGAGGGGAGCCUGCUUGGCUUGUGAACUUUUACUUAAUACCGCUCUUCAAAUACAGUGCUUCUGCUCUGCCCUCUGCCAUACUGAGUCCCCAAUUCCCUGGCCUCUUCAGUCAGCCUCUGCAGAGAAGACAUUCGCCCCAGUGCCCUGGCAGAGCAGACAAUCACCUGGCUGCGUAGAGUGAGGAAGGAGCUGUAGAAGCCUAAGCGUCUCAUGCCAUUCUCGUUUGGAGUCACAUCCUGAACCGCUUCCCAGUUCUACCACCUAUGGCCCUGAAGUAUCACGUAGGGAACUCAACUUCUCCCUCUGAGCUUGGAAGACCUUUGAAACACAUAGGAUGUCCAGGGCCCUCUUGGCCCUGGGAUUCUAUGAUCCAUGAACCUUCAGAAGCUAGAGAGCUCUGCCUAGGUAGUAACAUAGACAGGAAGAUACAGGAGGUGAAGAAGGGCAAGGUGACAGUGGGAUAGAGUGGCAGGAGACUUCAAAGAAAAGGUGGGAUGAGAGCAGGACAAGAGCCAGUUGGAGGAAUAGGAGAGGGAACGCCUCCUCAGGUGUCCAAUACUGGGGCAGGAUCGUCACAGCAUGCUGGGGGCUGGUAGGCAAAGGGUUCUAGAAUAAUAAAGUGGAAGAGUAAACUUCAAUUAGAAUGUGGAGAACUUGAAUUUCUUUUUUACAUUAGCAAACCCCACAAUCAAAGUCGUCUAGAGAUUUGUUUUCAGUGCCAGAGACCCUACCCCAGACUUUAAAUCAGAAUAUCAGAGAAGAGCCCAGGAACCUAUAUGCCUUUAAACUUUCCACGUGAGUCCAAUAAACUGGCAAGUUUUGGAACCACUUCCUUAGGCAAUGGAGAACCAUGGAUGGUUUGUAAUCAGGAUGCAUGAUAGAAGUGGAAAUUCUAGAAAGAUGAAUUUGACAGGCAUACGCAAGGUGGACUGGAGGUUGAAGGACAUGUGACAGGGAUUCAAGGGAGGAAAUUUCAAUACUUCACAAAGAUGGUCAUGAGAGUCUAUAGGAGGUAAGUGGUCAGGGAAAAGAAAGAAGAGACUAUACCAAUCCUUCUUUCAUGGAUUGAAUUAUGUAUCCCCCAAAAAUUCAUAGGUUGAAUUCCUAACCCUUAGUACCUCGGAAUGUAACCUUAUUGGGAAAUAGAGUCACUGCAGAUGUAAUUAGUUAGGUUAGAUGCGGUCAUAGGGUGGACUCUAAUCUAAUAGAAGGGGGAACUUUGGACACACCAGCAUGGACAGCCAUAGAGGGAAGACGAUGAAAAGCAAAGUAGGGAGAAAUGGUUAUCUAUCUACAAGCCAAGGAGAGACGCCUGGAACAGAUCCUUCCCUCAAAGCUAACAGGAGGAACCAGUCCUGUUGACACCUUGAUCUCUGUCUUCUGGCCUCCAAAACUGUAAGUCAGUAAACUGCUAAUCACCAGGUCUGUGGUACUUUGUUAUGGCAGCCAUAGGAAACUAAUACACUGUCUUUUUGGAAACACAUUCCUGCCUUCAACUACCUCUUCCUCACUUUCUCUUGAGGAAUGAUUUCUCAAAGCCACCCACCUGAGAGGGCUGGAAGCAGUGGUUACAGAAUGAAGCAUGUGUUUCUAACAUUAUAGGAUGCCUUUUUACUGGAGGAGUGAGUGUGGGGUAGCUUUUUGGAGUCCUUGGCCAGUUUGCUCCCAGAACCUACCUGAGAUAUCAAAGAACUGACUUGUGAUUGGACCUUGCUGAAUAGAAAAGAUGUUAUCUCUAGGAGAAGCAAUUCACAUUCUCCCCACCUGAGAAAGGAAUUGGUGCCAAGAAUAUCAGACAGUGGGUAAACCCCCAGAGGAGAAGGGAGACUCAUUUCUUUGGAGCCACUACCGUCCCACUGGUGGCUCAUCCAGAUGUUAGAGCUGCAAGAGGAGGAACAAUCUACAAAAAAAGUACUGGUGGAGGACAAUGGACACCAGCUACAUUGUUCACAAGUGGUAAUUAUCAUGACUACAAACACCAGGGAUUAAUACUUACCUAUCGAAGACCAUAUGAGUAAUGGGUGUCUCCCAAGCCUGUAACUGAAAGCACCUUCUAGACUCUAAGGCCCUACUCAGGUGCUGCUUUCUCUAUUAUACAACUUCUAUUCCUGGAAAAUCAAUGUUGAUUAAAGAAGUUUCUGGCCAGGCAUGGUGGCUCAUGCCUGUAAUCCCAGCACUUUGGGAGGCUGAGGCGGGCAGAUCACCUGAGGCCAGGAGUUCGAGAUCAGCCUGGCUAACAUGGCGAAA
rnacentral:lncRNA from 10 species